rnacentral:rRNA from 1 species
AUUGAGCGCUGGCGGCAGGCCUAACACAUGCAAGUCGAGCGGAUGAAGGGAGCUUGCUCCUGGAUUCAGCGGCGGACGGGUGAGUAAUGCCUAGGAAUCUGCCUGGUAGUGGGGGAUAACGUCCGGAAACGGGCGCUAAUACCGCAUACGUCCCGAGGGAGAAAGUGGGGGAUCUUCGGACCUCACGCUAUCAGAUGAGCCUAGGUCGGAUUAGCUAGUUGGUGGGGUAAAGGCCUACCAAGGCGACGAUCCGUAACUGGUCUGAGAGGAUGAUCAGUCACACUGGAACUGAGACACGGUCCAGACUCCUACGGGAGGCAGCAGUGGGGAAUAUUGGACAAUGGGCGAAAGCCUGAUCCAGCCAUGCCGCGUGUGUGAAGAAGGUCUUCGGAUUGUAAAGCACUUUAAGUUGGGAGGAAGGGCAGUAAGUUAAUACCUUGCUGUUUUGACGUUACCAACAGAAUAAGCACCGGCUAACUUCGUG